rnacentral:rRNA from 1 species
UACGGGGGGUGCGAGCGUUGUCCGGAAUCACUGGGCGUAAAGGGCGUGUAGGUGGUCUGGUAAGUCUGUGGUGAAAGCCCGGGGCUCAACCCCGUGUCUGCCAUGGAUACUGCUAGACUAGAGUGCUGUAGAGGGGGGUAGAAUGCCGGGUGUAGCGGUGGAAUGCGUAGAGAUCCGGCAGAAGACCGGUGGCGAAGGCGGCCCCCUGGGCAGUAACUGACACUGAGGCGCGACAGCGUGGGGAGCAAACAGG